rnacentral:rRNA from 1 species
UACGGGGGGAGCAAGCGUUGUUCGGAUUUACUGGGCGUAAAGGGCGCGUAGGCGGUCAGCACAAGUCAGUUGUGAAAUCUCCGGGCUUAACUCGGAAAGGUCAACUGAUACUGUGCGACUAGAGUGCGGAAGGGGCAACUGGAAUUCUUGGUGUAGCGGUGAAAUGCGUAGAUAUCAAGAGGAACACCUGCGGCGAAGGCGGGUUGCUGGGCUGACACUGACGCUGACAGCGCGAAAGCUAGGGGAGCGAACGGG